rnacentral:rRNA from 1 species
UGGGGAAUUUUGGACAAUGGGCGAAAGCCUGAUCCAGCAAUGCCGCGUGUGUGAAGAAGGCCUUCGGGUUGUAAAGCACUUUUGUCCGGAAAGAAAUGGCUCUGGUUAAUACCUGGGGUCGAUGACGGUACCGGAAGAAUAAGGACCGGCUAACUACGUGCCAGCAGCCGCGGUAAUACGUAGGGUCCAAGCGUUAAUCGGAAUUACUGGGCGUAAAGCGUGCGCAGGCGGUUGUGCAAGACCGAUGUGAAAUCCCCGAGCUUAACUUGGGAAUUGCAUUGGUGACUGCACGGCUAGAGUGUGUCAGAGGGGGGUUAGAAUUCCACGUGUAGCAGUGAAAUGCGUAGAGAUGUGGAGGAAUACCGAUGGCGAAGGCAGCCCCCUGGGAUAACACUGACGCUCAUGCACGAAAGCGUGGGGAGCAAACAGGAUUAGAUACCCUGGUAGUCCACGCCCUAAA